UUUUCAUGCGUCGGCAACAGAUGACUUGAACAUAUUCCAGUCAGGUUUUCACAAUUUGCUUGAUUUCAGUUCAAACGAUAAAUACCAACGAUGACUGUUUCUUGACAAGAAAAACAGGUGAAAGCAGCAACCAGGCAACUAUUUCAAUCAAUACCUUCACCAUUUUGCUGUCAUAAUUACCACUAUCAUUUAACCACCAUCAACACCAAUUAUAAUCACCAUCGUAACAAUCAUUUGUACCAUCAUAACCUCCAUCACCGCCCUAAGUGACAAAACCUUAACUAUCAGCAUUUUUACACCAUCGUCACUGUCAUCACCUCUAUCAUCGCCACCAUCAUCAUCU